rnacentral:rRNA from 1 species
UACAGAGGGUGCAAGCGUUAAUCGGAGUUACUGGGCGUAAAGGGCGCGUAGGUGGUUAUGCAAGUGAGAUGUGAAAGCCCUGGGCUUAACCUAGGAAUUGCAUCUUAUACUGUGUGACUGGAGAGUAGUAGAGGGUAGUGGAAUUUCCGGUGUAGCGGUGAAAUGCGUAGAGAUCGGAAGGAACAUCAGUGGCGAAGGCGACUACCUGGACUACAACUGACACUGAGGCGCGAAAGCGUGGGGAGCAAACAGG